AUUGAACGCUGGCGGCAGGCCUAACACAUGCAAGUCGAACGGUAACAGGAAGAAGCUUGCUUCUUUGCUGACGAGUGGCGGACGGGUGAGUAAUGUCUGGGAAGCUGCCUGAUGGAGGGGGAUAACUACUGGAAACGGUAGCUAAUACCGCAUAACGUCGCAAGACCAAAGAGGGGGACCUUCGGGCCUCUUGCCAUCGGAUGUGCCCAGAUGGGAUUAGCUAGUAGGUGGGGUAACGGCUCACCUAGGCGACGAUCCCUAGCUGGUCUGAGAGGAUGACCAGCCACACUGGAACUGAGACACGGUCCAGACUCCUACGGGAGGCAGCAGUGGGGAAUAUUGCACAAUGGGCGCAAGCCUGAUGCAGCCAUGCCGCGUGUAUGAAGAAGGCCUUCGGGUUGUAAAGUACUUUCAGCGGGGAGGAAGGGAGUAAAGUUAAUACCUUUGCUCAUUGACGUUACCCGCAGAAGAAGCACCGGCUAACUCCGUGCCAGCAGCCGCGGUAAUACGGAGGGUGCAAGCGUUAAUCGGAAUUACUGGGCGUAAAGCGCACGCGGGCGGUUUGUUAAGUCAGAUGUGAAAUCCCCGGGCUCAACCUGGGAACUGCAUCUGAUACUGGCAAGCUUGAGUCUCGUAGAGGGGGGUAGAAUUCCAGGUGUAGCGGUGAAAUGCGUAGAGAUCUGGAGGAAUACCGGUGGCGAAGGCGGCCCCCUGGACGAAGACUGACGCUCAGGUGCGAAAGCGUGGGGAGCAAACAGGAU
rnacentral:rRNA from 1 species